CUGAAGCCGUUUUUAUUUGGUUUGAUUAGUCAGACUGUGGGUCCAGAACAAUCCAGAACCAGGACGGAGGAGAAGUGGUCCAACAGAACCACAGAGGAGGACAUGAGGGAACAAAGACCAGAACUAUCUGAGACCAGGAAGCUGUGAACAGGAGACUCAAAGCAGAAGUAAAAAUAUAUAAAACUUAUUACAGAACUUAUUAAGAGCAGCAAAGUUACCGGAAAUGAGCAAAUAAACAGACUUCAGGGUAGAACCUAAAACCUGCAGAACAGUAGCCACAAGGACCGGAGCUGGAGAUCCCUGUUCUAAACAAACCGCUGCUGGACUCUACUACGGAACAGACAGCAGUGAUCACUGAGGGUGAAACUACAUCAACAUAUUAUUGCUGCACAUACACGUUUGUUGAGAGGAAGCACCUGCAUCCAUGGCUGCCACUGUUUGAGUUUGGGGAUGAUGCUGGCCUCCCAUCUUCUCAGAAAGAAGUCAGUCUUUCCACCAGUGAAGGUAGAAAGUGUGUGUGAGCUGAUGUGAAUCCAGCAUCAUGGAUCAGGACAGAGAGGAGGGAGUCCCUCCCUCUAAAACCACUCAGAGGAACCAGCCUGGACCCGGACCUAAACGUAGGCGUAGACAUAGAUCUGGACCUGGACCUGGACCUGGACCUGAGCCCAGCUGUGUCUCCAUGAAGAGUGACGGGUCGAUGGGAUGUUAUAUUGAGUUCCAUCAAAGUGGUGGAUCUAACAGACAUUUCUGAGAAUCAGGACUUUCAGAUGGGCUCAGAUGUUAAGACGAGUUGGAUCAGAUGGUUCAGCCAGUAAACAGCUGCAGUUUAAUCCUGAACCCAGUCAGACCAGUCUUUACUUGAGGUGGUUGCUCCGACCCAGCGCUGUACACUGUCAUACAGUUUACUGACCAACUAAAUACACAAAGACUUUUCUGAUCUUCUGGCUGAAAUUGUGCAACAGUAUGACCAUGUAAUUUUUGGGGGGGGAUUCUAUUAUUCAGAAGUGUUGUCAUUAAAGGCUGUUGAUGAACACAUGAACAUGGACACACAUUAGAGCUCGUCUUCUCAUAUGGUUUAUCUGUGUCUAACUUGGAGAUCUGUGAUGAUGCAAUUUCUGAUCAUAUGCCAGUUGUGUUUGAAGUUGCUGUCUCCUGUGAUGAUUUUAAAUCCAGCGCUCCUUGUUACGACCCAGGAACAAAAAAAAAAAAAAGAGAGAAAUGUGGACAGAUGUAAAGCCGGGAGUUAACA